UACAGAGGUCUCAAGCGUUGUUCGGAAUCACUGGGCGUAAAGGGUGCGUAGGUGGCGUGGAAAGUCAGAUGUGAAAUCCGGGGGCUCAACCCCCGAAUUGCAUCCGAUACUCCCAUGCUAGAGAACUGGAGGGGAGUCUGGAAUUCUCGGUGUAGCAGUGAAAUGCGUAGAUAUCGAGAGGAACACUAGUGGCGAAGGCGAGACUCUGGACAGUUUCUGACACUGAUGCACGAAGGCCAGGGUAGCGAACGGG
rnacentral:rRNA from 1 species